AAAUAAAGUAGAAAUAGAAUUGGAAGAAGAACAAAAACAAGAUGAAGAAGAGGAGGAAGAACAAUAACAACAACAACAACUUAACCUCCUAUCAACCAACAAAACCAAACAAAAGAACAUCGACAACCGAACGGGUGGAGAGAACAAACAAGGACUAAUGUAAACAAGCAUAACACACACACAAACAAACAAACACACAUUGAAGUAAGUUAAGUAGUUUAAGUAUAAUUAGUGUAUUCGAUUUAGGUGUAAUUAGGUAGUUUGUUAAGUAAGUAGUGUGUGGAGGAUAGAUAGAUAGAUUGAUAGAUAGGUUGUUAGUUAGCCUGUUAGUUUGUUUGUUGGUAAGGCAGUUGUCUACGUGUCGUUUUACUUGUGUGUGUGUGUGUGUGUGUGUGUGUGUGUGUGUGUGUGUGUGUGUGUGUGUGUGUAAAUUCAUGGGUGAUUGUUCUAUGCGCCCGCUCGCGUGUACACAUAAUUAAUACUCGAUAUUUUUUGGGGCGUUAUAUUGGUGUGCACACACACACACACACACACACACACACACAGCCAAGACGCACACACAUCUCUUGGUUUCCUUCAAGUUUACGUACAUGCCCUCUUUGUGUGUGUGUGUGUGUGUGUGUGUGUGUGUGUGCGCUUCAGGGGCGAGACGAAAACUGCCUUAAAUUGCCUUUUAUGGUUUUUUUCUCCUAAUUCUCCUCCUCCUCCUCCUCCUCUUCCUCUUCCUCCUUCUCUUCCUCCUCCUCCUAUCCUUCUUCUUCUUCUUACUACUACUACUACUACUACUGCUAAUAAUAAUAAUAAUAAUAAUAAUGAUAAUAGUAAUAAUAAUAAUAAUAACAACAACAACAACACAAGUAAUGGCGCUGUAAGGUCAUUCCAGUUUUUCCUCGUUUAAUCUUACUUUUUUUUUCUUAAUGGUUGAGCUGUGACGUGUGUUCGUGUGUGUGUUGCGUCACCAGUGUGUUGAAUGACGUAAAGACCACCACCUGACCUUACCUUUGCCUCCUCUACUACUACUACUACUACUACUACUACUACUACUACCACCACCACUACUACUACUACCACCACCACUACUACUACUACUACUACUACUACUACUACUACUACUACUACUACCACUAUUACUACUACCAAUACUAUUACUACUACUACUACUACUACUACUACUACUACUACUGCUACUACGCCGUUGGUUCAUAAAGUGGGCGUGAUGGACAGUAUGGAUUCAAUUUGAUGACUCUCUCUCUCUCUCUCUCUCUCUCUCUCUCUCUCUCUCUCUCUCUCUCUCUCUCUCUCUCUCUGUUACUUAAAUUAUGGCUACUUUUCUCGUUAACUUACUACUAUUUCCACUACUUUUCACACACACACACACACACAAACAAACACACACAUCUUUUUGUUGCCCUUAAGUUGCUGUCUGUGCUGUAAAAAAACUAAAUACCCCUAAACUUUUCUGAGCCCACACAUCCACAGUUGAUAAGGCUUUGGUAGGGAUUAUGGAAGCAUUGCCAGGGGUAGUUGUAUGAGCCUAGUGAUACCCUGGACAGAAAGGGGUAUUUUAUUUAUUUAUUUAUUUAUUUAUUUAUUGCAGUGGAGAAAACAAUUAAAGGAGGAGAACAAACACAAAUAGAAGCCAUAUUCCAAAACCGUUCUCCCACAUCUGCUAAGCCUUUGAUAGUGAUUAUGAUAGUAUUGCCAGGGGUAGUUUUAUGAGCCUAGUGAUAGUUUGACAAGGCUUUAUUUAUUCAUUUCCUUACUUUUUUAUCCAUUUUUAAGUUCUGCCUGUUGCACCGGUAGGUUAUUUUGAUGGGGCCAGCCCGUUCAUAGCGCAGGCAAGUGUUUACAGUGACACCAUCUUGCUUGGCUCAUGCUGCCCCUGGAACUGAUCUUUGCCCCACUGUAGUGUUGCUAGGAAUCAAGGGUUGUUCGGGAAGUAAGGGGAAUCCAGUAGCGAACCGGAGCAUUCGAAUCAACAGUUGUGAUUCAAAUGUUCCGGAAUCACAAGAGACGAGCAAGCUAAUAUUUGCCCCGCGCGGUUAGUCAGCUUUAAUCCGGGUUGACUGGUGGUCUUAAGGACAGCACGUGGGUAUAGUUUUAAGCCACUCGCGAUGAUUGAAAAUUGUCUGUUUGUAGAGACGGACGGGACUUGAACAGCAUGCAAGGGGACCGCUCAGCCAACACCUUUUGCACAAUGGAUGUGAAAACGGUUCAAAACACUCAUUAGAACGCGACUCCUCUCCUUCGUGACCUUGGGAAAUAGUGUUGCGUCCAGAAAACGUCAAAGAAUACUGAAUCUACUAUGGCUGCUGUUAUUACUAAUGUUGUUGUUGUUGUUGAUGUUGUUGCUGAUGUUUUCGAUGCCUCAACAAGUCUUCUCACAUAGGUUAACAUCACACACACACACACACACAGCUCAAAAAUAUUAUGCAUCACAAUUAGAAGCGAGUACGUGUGUGUGUGUGUGUGUGUGUGUGUGUGUGUGUUUAUCAUGCGUCAAGCGUUCAAAUGGGACAGCUUUGCAUAUGUGAUUUUCUUCCUUUCUUUCUUUUUCUUUCUUUCUUUCUUUCUUAAUCUUCCCUUCUUUCCUUUCUUUCUUUAUCUCAUUCUCAUAUUCUUUGUCUUUCUCUCUUUCUCUUUAUGCUUUUCUUUAAUUAUUUCUCCUUUUCUUUUUUUCCUUUCCUUUUCCCUUUUUCUUCUCUUUUCUUUUUUCUUUUCAUUCUAUAUGUACUUCGUUUGUUUUGUUAUUAUUAUUAUUAUUAUCAUCAUUAUUAUUAUUAUUAUUAUUACUAUUAUUAUUAUUAUUACUAUUAUUAUUACUAUUACUAUUAUUAUUACUAUUAUUAUUACUGUUUGUGUUGCUAUAUCGAGAGAGAGAGAGAGAGAGAAAAUAAACAUAGCAUGGAGGGAAAAUGAGGAAGAGGAGGAAAAAAAAGAGGGAGGAAGGAAGAAAAAUGGAGGAAGAAAAAGAAGAAUUAAGAGAGAGAGAGAGAGAGAGAGAGAGAGAGAGAGAGAGAGAGAGAG